UACAGAGGGUGCGAGCGUUAAUCGGAAUUACUGGGCGUAAAGGGCUCGUAGGCGGCCAACUAAGUCAGACGUGAAAUCCCUCGGCUUAACCGGGGAACUGCAUCUGAUACUGGAUGGCUUGAGUUCGGGAGAGGGAUGCGGAAUUCCAGGUGUAGCGGCGAAAUGCGUAGAUAUCUGGAGGAACACCGGUGGCGAAGGCGGCAUCCUGGACCGACACUGACGCUGAGGAGCGAAAGCCAGGGGAGCAAACGGG
rnacentral:rRNA from 1 species